UACGAAGGGGGCUAGCGUUGCUCGGAAUCACUGGGCGUAAAGCGCACGUAGGCGGAUUGCUAAGUCAGGGGUGAAAUCCUGGAGCUCAACUCCAGAACUGCCUUUGAUACUGGCGAUCUUGAGUCCGGGAGAGGUGAGUGGUAACUGCGAGUGUAGAGGUGAAAUUCGUAGAUAUUCGCAAGAACACCAGUGGCGAAGGCGGCUCACUGGCCCGGUACUGACGCUGAGGCGGCGAAA
rnacentral:rRNA from 1 species